CGAACGGACUCAUAUUGAAACCUAGUGAUGUAUGAGUUAGUGGCGGACGGGUGAGUAACGCGUGGAGAACCUGCCGUAUACUGGGGGAUAACACUUAGAAAUAGGUGCUAAUACCGCAUAAGCGCACAGCUUCGCAUGAAGCAGUGUGAAAAACUCCGGUGGUAUACGAUGGAUCCGCGUCUGAUUAGCUUGUUGGCGGGGUAAAGGCCCACCAAGGCGACGAUCAGUAGCCGGCCUGAGAGGGUGAACGGCCACAUUGGGACUGAGACACGGCCCAAACUCCUACGGGAGGCAGCAGUGGGGAAUAUUGCACAAUGGGGGAAACCCUGAUGCAGCGACGCCGCGUGAGUGAAGAAGUAUUUCGGUACGUAAAGCUCUAUCAGCAGGGAAGAAAAUGACGGUACCUGACUAAGAAGCCCCGGCUAACUACGUGCCAGCAGCCGCGGUAAUACGUAGGGGCAAGCGUUAUCCGGAUUUACUGGGUGUAAAGGGAGCGUAGACGGCAGCACAAGUCUGGAGUGAAAUCCCAUGGCUUAACCAUGGAACUGCUUUGGAAACUGUGCAGCUGGAGUGCAGGAGAGGUAAGCGGAAUUCCUAGUGUAGCGGUGAAAUGCGUAGAUAUUAGGAGGAACACCAGUGGCGAAGGCGGCUUACUGGACUGUAACUGACGUUGAGGCUCGAAAGCGUGGG
rnacentral:rRNA from 1 species